AAGCUAGACACCCAUGCAUUACCCUGUUUUUACCACGAUUAUAUAGGUUCAGUGUAAAGCAGAUGUGUGGUUAAAUCACGCAUGCUCAGCUUUUUAUUAAACAGUUGCAAAAUAAGUUAAGAUAAGUGUUACUGACUCGUGCAGUCUUGGAGAUCCAGUCGUUGUCUGUUUAAGUGGAAGGAGAUGAAAUUACUGCCUGAGGGCUUUACAACAACCAGCUGGUUUCAGAAAACACUUGGUUAACGUGUGUGUGAGCUGUUUGAGUUGUUGCACAUCCUCAGCUCUUCUGUGUGCGUGUGUGUGUGUGUGUGUGCAGGUCUGGUGGUGCGGGAGGCCAGUAUCGAGAUCACCCGUCAGCAGGUGGAGGAGAUCUUCGGUCUGGAGGAUUUCUGGUGUCAGUGUGUGGCCUGGAGCUCGGCAGGAACCACCAAGAGCCGCAAGGCCCACGUCCGGAUCGCCUAUCUCAGGAAAAUAUA